ACUCGGACCUCAAAUCAGGCAAGGCUACCCGCUGAGUUUAAGCAUAUCAAUA
rnacentral:rRNA from 1 species